UUGAUGAACUUAUCCAUACUUAUAAACCAGAGCACACAGAGAUUUCAAGAUGUCCAUUUAAGAUGCCAAAGAUUAAUAAAAUAAUGGUGGGAGGUGGUGCUUUAAGUUACCUGGCCCCAAAGAUGUGGAAUGAUCUGCCUGCUUAUAUAAGAGAUGCCCAUCAGUCUCAGCCUUUAAAUACAGGCUGAAGGCUUACUCCUUUAGUCUAGUAGGCACUGACUAGAGAUACUGAUUAGCUGUGCAUACUGCAUUUCUAUUUGUUAGUUAUUUGUACAGAAAUAUAAGUAAUCCAAUAUUUUAAACUGCUACUAACCCCCCAUUAUUUGGUUUCUCUUCUUGGUAUCUGGAUGUGGCACUUGGUGCCUUUGCUCUGUUGCCAGACUUCUUUCCUGCGUAUGGAAAAGCCAUCUCAGAUAAAGGAGCAUUGGAAUCAUUGGAUGGAAACAUUCUCUCAAAAGAUUGGACAGCUCACCAAUAAAAUUGCCCAGGAGAUAGGUCCUAGGCUUUGUUUCAAUUGAGACCAUAUUUGUCAAAUCAUCCAAUACUACCUGCAACCACGUCUUUUUUGACCUUCACUAUGGGCUUCAUCCCCUCCAUCUCCAAUUUGGUGAAACUGGGUUUAAAAUAAUGUCACCACCCCUCAUAAAAGAGAACUGAAGGAAAUUGGCAUCAGGAAGGGCAUUACACCUUAACAAAGUUAGUGAUUUUGCUCCAAGACAACAUAAUCACUUAUUUUGUCUACGGAAACAACAACUGAUUGGCAAUUAGGUUUUUUUGAGUACUGUGGUCAAUUUGGCCCCAGUUAUUUGAGAGUCCUAUAUAGACACCUGCUGCCCCCGCCUCAGUGACUGAGGUGACAGUUGCACUGCAACAACUUUCUUUGGCUCCCCCAUCUAUGCUCUUCUUAUUUAUGUAACCCAUUAGGUUUUGAAAUUUUCGAGUA